GAAAACCUCCAUACUCUAGCUAAUCUUGUAAAGCUACCAGGUGUGGGUUGCAAUCAUUUGUAGGUCUACAGAUCUCACAGAUUUCAUGAUUCAACACCAGUGAAGACUUCUUCAACUUGGAAGCUGCAACAGUUAGCUGGAUCUAGAGGUAAAUGUGAAUUCGUUCAUCAUUUGUGCAAUAUUGUCCUUCAUAUUAUAGUACAUCAGUUUAUAUUUGAUUUACUUCCUCCAAUUAUUCAUCUCAAUAGGUUGAAUUCCUGAGGAAUUGAUACCACUGUUCAAGACUUAUAAUUUUCGGAGUACUUCAUUUAUAGCACUGAGUAAGAUCCUUUUCUUUGACUGUAUUACUAUGUUUCUCCUUUGAUAUCAAUGUUGUGGAAUAUUGAGAUGGCUUGUGAUGACUACUCUCGGUUGUUCUGGGCCUUGUAUUCCUUUUUUUGAAUCUUCUGUAUGCGAAUAUUAGGAGUGUGUGACUUUUCUAAUUGAAUUAUUGGUUUGGCCUGUUGUGGGAGUUUUUGAUAUGUAU
rnacentral:lncRNA from 1 species